rnacentral:rRNA from 1 species
GCAGCCGCGGUAAUACGUAGGUGGCAAGCGUUGUCCGGAAUUACUGGGUGUAAAGGGAGCGCAGGCGGGACUGCAAGUUGGAUGUGAAAUACCGCAGCUUAACUGCGGAGCUGCAUCCAAAACUGUAGUUCUUGAGUGGAGUAGAGGUAGGCGGAAUUCCGAGUGUAGCGGUGAAAUGCGUAGAUAUUCGGAGGAACACCAGUGGCGAAGGCGGCCUACUGGGCUCUUACUGACGCUGAGGCUCGAAAGUGUGGGGAGCAAACAGGAUUAGAUACCCC